rnacentral:rRNA from 1 species
UACGUAGGGCGCAAGCGUUAUCCGGAAUUAUUGGGCGUAAAGGGUGCGUAGGUGGCUUGAAAAGUUUGAUGUGAAAGCUCAGGGCUUAACCCUGAAAUGGCAUUGAAUACUGUCGGGCUGGAGGUUUGGAGGGGGGACUGGAAUUCCUGGUGUAGCGGUGAAAUGCGCAGAUAUCAGGAGGAACACCGGUGGCGAAGGCGGGUCUCUGGGCCGAUACUGACGCUGAGGAGCGAAAGCGUGGGGAGCGAACAGG